GUGUUGGGAUAAAAUCUGCUAACUCGAUCUGCUGUAAAAAGCCCAGAGUUGAGGGCCAUCCAGGCGAUAAUACUGUGCUUGGGGAUAUUCAAUUUGUUCCGAACGAUGCCUGCAUAGUCGACCUUAGGAUAGGUCUGCCUAAUGAGGUUCCAGGCUGUUUUGGAGUUUCAAUUUCCAUCCGGGCUGAGAGACCAAACGAUCCUGUCUUCAACAGGGAGCUGCGGGAGUUCAUACAGGGCAAUCUCUUGCAUUAGACACUGUCCAGCUAUUCUGCGGCUAGGAGGAAGGUUCCAAUGCCCAUUAUUAGCUUACUAGAGCAUGGUCCGGGAGACCUCUUUCCCUUAUAACAGU
rnacentral:misc_RNA from 1 species